AGGUCGCAGGUCUACGUGGGGGAUCGUGGGGGAAUUGUACUUUGUAAAGGAAACCAAAGUGCCUCAAGAGAACCCACAAACAUGGAGUUCAAUUUCAACUUCAAAGCUUGGGCAGAAUACUUUCUCUGUGUUACCGCUGAUCAACGAACAGGAAGGAAUGAUGCCAGAGUGAGAAAAGGGUCAGGAAGAGCUGUCACUGUUCCUGUCCGCCUGAGAUACUGUGUCUACCACAGUCUUUCCUCUGGGACUGAGGUAACACAUCACCUCCACAGUUUGAUCCCAUGAGAUGUCACACUUCCUCAAACUCACUGGUAAACCCCUGCAAUCUCUUGCUUCCCUAAACACCAUAUGCCUGUCUUAUACUUAAAAACCCUUUGUUCGCUGUUCUAUUUUGAGUUUUACAGCUUUUACUGAAUCUUGCAACACUUUAAAAUCUUACCUGCAUAAUGUAUGACCAGAAUCAGAAUCUUUAGUAUAGCUAAAAAAAAAAAAAUAGACUUGAAGUUAAAGUCAAAUCCUGUCAAGUCAAAUUUAAUUUGCUUGCAUUUUUUUCCCUAUGCUUGUGUGGGUUAACUGUUAAACAAGCAAAUUUUAAAGCUCAAGUUUCUGUGAAGAAGAUUCAGAGAUCGGUUUCUGUUAGUGUUAUAUAAUCUUGAAAAUAUGUGCUAUAAACUUGUGAAGCAUCUAACAACAAUAUACAGUUGUUCUGAGUAGAAUUUGUGGUUGUGAUUUGCAUGAAGUGUAAGAAAUCUUUAAAAAAAAAUGAAAUGUGAAAGGAGCAAAUAAUUUUCUUUUUUUUUUUCAUUUGAUUGUGUAGCAUAGCAUUUGUACAUUAUUAUGAGCUAGUGUCAUAUUUCCCAUGUCACUCAGGUAUCAUGAACCUUAGCCCCAGUUCAUGAAUAGGAUGUGUGCUAUGUUCUUACAUGAUUAAAAGGGGCAAUUGGUCUUCCCAGGGGCCACAUGAAAAACUUGGACUGUUGUGGAGGGUUGCAGUAAUGAGCUUAUAAAGAGAUAAAUUAAUACUGAGCAGAAUCAUGUUCAGCUUAUUGGCAUCAUCCUCUAAACUAGUACCAGUUUUUUAAGUGGUCCCUUGGGAAAAUUAAUUGCCCACCCCUUAUCUUUUGGGAAUUUCCACUUAAGUAAAACCAUUGGGUGUCAUGAUUUAAACAUUGGGUUUCCAUCUUUUUUACAUUUUUUUUUAAAUAGUCAGUUACCCUAUACCAGAAUAUGACAUAAUGAUCCUAAAUACAUACAUACUACUCUUUUCUUUCCUCUGGAGUUUUUUUUACUGUCUGACCUCAUGCCAGUAAAGUUGCAAGGCCUUAGGCUUUUUGGUGGCUUACCUGGAAAGCGGGCGGCAAAAAGCUGCAAUCAAGGCAGACAGUUGCCAACAGCUUUCACUCUGUACAGGGAAAAAAAACACUGACAUCCUGUUAGAGCUGGAUGUUAUCAGAUCAAUCUAUCAGUUUGUGUGUGUUAAUACAUCCAGGCUUUAGGCAGACGGUGGCCUAGGAAAAGUGAUGUUCUCUCUCUGCAGUAUGCAAAUUAUAUGCAGAUUCUACGGAAAUCAUGCUCUUGUUAGCCCCUCAAGCCCUUUACCAAUGCCAAAACAGUGACACAGAGUUGAAACUGAAAAGCUCUGACACUGAAAAGAAGCUGUCAGCACAGAAGAAAAAAGUCAGAGUGAAAAGACUGGCAAGAAGAAAAAGCAAAUCUGAAGUUGGGGCU